CUUGUUAACAGUUUACAGAGAAACGAGUAGAAAGGAAAGCGAUUUCUCCGUUUAUGCUGUUCUUCAUUUAUCAUGCCUUCUUAACCCAAUAGGAUGUAUCUCUUUUGCUGUUCGUUCUACCCGGCACUAUCUUCUGUCGGAUUUUCUCAGCAGCAAUCAGCACCAUGAAAACGAAUAAAACCAAAAGAAAAAAAAUUUUAUCUGAAACUUGGCAACUCUGCAGUCCAAACAAACAACACUUGACGAAAAACAGAACCAACAGUGAAACAGACUCGCAUAUAUAUCUAAUGAUCAACUUUGCAUUUUUUUGUAUUUAAUUUUUUUUUUUGUAACAUCAAAUAUCAAGAAUCGUACAUCUUUGACAUAAUAUUAUUUUUAUUUUCAUAAUUUGGUCAAUAAAUAUCAAUUGAAUGAAAUGAAAUAUGAGAUAAUAAAGUUCUUCACAUAAAAUAAAUGUAUAGUGUGGUUCGAGGCAUGUUCGACGAGGAAAUGUAUAAUGUGUACAUAUACGCAGCAUAUAUGUUUUGAUAUUUUAAUGUAUAAUACAAACAGAAGUAUAUGUAAGUUACUCGCUUUCUUGGCCUCUAAAUGUUUGCAUGAAUGAAAACUAGCCUUCUAUUCAUGCAAGCAAAUCAAAAAAACA